GUAUGUAAAUUCCCUAACGAGGAAGUACAUUUUCCUACCUUCUGAAGCUGGAAGUACAAAUUGAUUUUGCUGAUCACACAGCACGGGAUAUUCCGUUGAAAAGCGAAAUUGUACCGAAAGUAGUAGUCUGGAGACGUGUUUUCACAAAUGGAAAACUUGACAAUUGGCACGCCAUUUCAAAACGCGGCUCUUCAUUUCACGACGCGUGCUCAAAAGACGCCGAACUGCAACAGCGAGGCCAAACAGGAACGCUGGACAUUUGAAAUGGCAUAGUGGUAAUUACAGCCAUUUAAUUACACAGUGUCUGAUGCCUGCCUUCAAGAGGAUAGAGCAGAGUGUCCACUGACCCGUCAACUGUUUGCAAUUGCAGCCAGAACCAAAGCUGCUUUUGGAAUUUGCUGAACUCCAGCACUUGAAAGAAUGUAUAUAUGACAGCUGAGACAACUCUAUAGACCGUAUUUAUUCGUAACACAACG
rnacentral:lncRNA from 1 species